GCCUUCGUAGUGUAACGGUAGCACACUCGACGCGUAUUGCAGAGGUUCAGGUUCGAGUCCCGGCGAGAGCA
rnacentral:tRNA from 1 species